CGCACAUUGCGCCCAUUAGUAUUCUAGUGGGCAUGCCUGUUCGAGCGUCAUUACAACCCUCAAGCGCUGUAGUGCUUGGCGUUGGGGCAUCUGCUGCCUGCAGCAGGCCCUGAAAGAUAGUGGCGAGGUCGCUGUGACCCUGAGCGUAGUAAUUUACACCUCGCUUCUGUGGCUCGCGGCGGUUUCUCAGCCGUGAAACCCCCAAAUUUUCACAAGGUUGACCUCGGAUCAGGUAGGAAUACCCGCUGAACUUAA
rnacentral:misc_RNA from 1 species